rnacentral:rRNA from 1 species
GUGGGGAAUCUUCCGCAAUGGACGAAAGUCUGACGGAGCAACGCCGCGUGAGUGAUGAAGGUCUUCGGAUUGUAAAGCUCUGUUAAUCGGGACGAAAGAGCCUAGUGUGAAUAAUGCUAGGAAGUGACGGUACCGGAAUAGAAAGCCACGGCUAACUACGUGCCAGCAGCCGCGGUAAUACGUAGGUGGCAAGCGUUGUCCGGAAUUAUUGGGCGUAAAGCGCGCGCAGGCGGAUCUGCCAGUCUGUCUUAAAAGUUCGGGGCUUAACCCCGUGAUGGGAUGGAAACUACAGAUCUAGAGUAUCGGAGAGGAAAGUGGAAUUCCUAGUGUAGCGGUGAAAUGCGUAGAUAUUAGGAAGAACACCAGUGGCGAAGGCGACUUUCUGGACGAAAACUGACGCUGAGGCGCGAAAGCCAGGGGAGCGAACGGGAUUAGAUACCAGUGUAGUCC